rnacentral:tRNA from 1 species
AUAGCUCAGUAGCACAGUAUUUGCCUGGCAAGCAGAAGGUCUUGAGUUUGAUUCUCAGU